GUCCACGCUGUAAACGAUGGGCACUAGGUGUCGCGGGUAUUGACCCCUGCGGUGCCGCAGCUAACGCAUUAAGUGCCCCGCCUGGGGACUACGGCCGCAAGGUUAAAACUCAAAGGAAUUGACGGGGGCCCCGCACAAGCGGUGGAGCAUGUGGUUCAAUUCGACGCAACGCGAAGAACCUUACCCGGGCUAGACAACAGAGGACAGCCUUAGAAAUAAGGUCUUCCCUUCGGGGACCUCUGGUUCAGGUGCUGCAUGGCUGUCGU
rnacentral:rRNA from 1 species